rnacentral:rRNA from 1 species
AGAGCGAACGCUGGCGGCAGGCCUAACACAUGCAAGUCGAGCGCCCCGCAAGGGGAGCGGCAGACGGGAGAGUAACACGUGGGAACGUGCCCUUUGGUUCGGAACAACACAGGGAAACUUGUGCUAAAUACCGGAUAAGCCCUUACGGGGAAAGAUUUAUCGCCAAAGGAUCGGCCCGCGUCUGAUUAGCUUGUUGGUGAGGUAACGGCUCACCAAGGCGACGAUCAGUAGCUGGUCUGAGAGGAUGAUCAGCCUCACUGGGACUGAGACACGGCCCAGACUCCUACGGGAGGCAGCAGUGGGAAUAUUGGACAAUGGGCGCAAGCCUGAUCCAGCCAUGCCGCGUGGGUGAUGAAGGCCCUAGGGUUGUAAAGCCGUUUCGGCGGGGAAGAUAAUGACGGUACCGCAGAAGAACGCCCGGCUAACUCGCGCCAGCAGCCGC